UUUGCUCUUUAAAAAUCUGGAUCAAGCUGAAAAUUGAAACACAGAACAACGAAAGUUGUUCGUGAGUCUCUCAAAUUUUCGCAACACGAUGAUGAAUCGUAAGAAACAUCUUCGGGUUGUGAGGUUAAGCGACUAAGCGUACACGGUGGAUGCCCUGGCAGUCAGAGGCGAUGAAGGACGUGCUAAUCUGCGAUAAGCGCCGGUAAGGUGAUAUGAACCGUUAUAACCGGCGAUUUCCGAAUGGGGAAACCCAGUGUGAUUCGUCACACUAUCAUUAACUGAAUCCAUAGGUUAAUGAGGCGAACCGGGGGAACUGAAACAUCUAAGUACCCCGAGGAAAAGAAAUCAACCGAGANNNNNNNNNNNNNNNNNNNNCCAGAGCCUGAAUCAGCAUGUGUGUUAGUGGAAGCGUCUGGAAAGGCGCGCGAUACAGGGUGACAGCCCCGUACACAAAAGCGCAUGUGCUGUGAGCUCGAUGAGUAGGGCGGGACACGUGGUAUCCUGUCUGAAUAUGGGGGGACCAUCCUCCAAGGCUAAAUACUCCUGACUGACCGAUAGUGAACCAGUACCGUGAGGGAAAGGCGAAAAGAACCCCGGCGAGGGGAGUGAAAAAGAACCUGAAACCGUGUACGUACAAGCAGUGGGAGCACAGGUUUACCUGUGUGACUGCGUACCUUUUGUAUAAUGGGUCAGCGACUUAUAUUCUGUAGCAAGGUUAACCGUAUAGGGGAGCCGGAGGGAAACCGAGUCUUAACCGGGCGUUAAGUUGCAGGGUAUAGACCCGAAACCCGGUGAUCUAGCCAUGGGCAGGUUGAAGGUUGGGUAACACUAACUGGAGGACCGAACCGACUAAUGUUGAAAAAUUAGCGGAUGACCUGUGGCUGGGGGUGAAAGGCCAAUCAAACCGGGAGAUAGCUGGUUCUCCCCGAAAGCUAUUUAGGUAGCGCCUCGUGAAUUCAUCUCCGGGGGUAGAGCACUGUUUCGGCUAGGGGGCCAUCCCGGCUUACCAACCCGAUGCAAACUGCGAAUACCGGAGAAUGUUAUCACGGGAGACACACGGCGGGUGCUAACGUCCGUCGUGAAGAGGGAAACAACCCAGACCGCCAGCUAAGGUCCCAAAGUCAUGGUUAAGUGGGAAACGAUGUGGGAAGGCCCAGACAGCCAGGAUGUUGGCUUAGAAGCAGCCAUCAUUUAAAGAAAGCGUAAUAGCUCACUGGUCGAGUCGGCCUGCGCGGAAGAUGUAACGGGGCUAAACCAUGCACCGAAGCUGCGGCAGCGACACUCAGGUGUUGUUGGGUAGGGGAGCGUUCUGUAAGCCUGUGAAGGUGGCCUGUGAGGGUUGCUGGAGGUAUCAGAAGUGCGAAUGCUGACAUAAGUAACGAUAAAGCGGGUGAAAAGCCCGCUCGCCGGAAGACCAAGGGUUCCUGUCCAACGUUAAUCGGGGCAGGGUGAGUCGACCCCUAAGGCGAGGCCGAAAGGCGUAGUCGAUGGGAAACGGGUUAAUAUUCCCGUACUUGGUGUUACUGCGAAGGGGGGACGGAGAAGGCUAUGUUGGCCGGGCGACGGUUGUCCCGGUUUAAGCGUGUAGGUGUGUGUUCCAGGUAAAUCCGGUUCACUUUAACACUGAGGCGUGACGACGAGGCACUACGGUGCUGAAGCAACAAAUGCCCUGCUUCCAGGAAAAGCCUCUAAGCAUCAGGUAACAUCAAAUCGUACCCCAAACCGACACAGGUGGUCAGGUAGAGAAUACCAAGGCGCUUGAGAGAACUCGGGUGAAGGAACUAGGCAAAAUGGUGCCGUAACUUCGGGAGAAGGCACGCUGACACGUAGGUGAAGUGAUUUACUCAUGGAGCUGAAGUCAGUCGAAGAUACCAGCUGGCUGCAACUGUUUAUUAAAAACACAGCACUGUGCAAACACGAAAGUGGACGUAUACGGUGUGACGCCUGCCCGGUGCCGGAAGGUUAAUUGAUGGGGUCAGCGCAAGCGAAGCUCCUGAUCGAAGCCCCGGUAAACGGCGGCCGUAACUAUAACGGUCCUAAGGUAGCGAAAUUCCUUGUCGGGUAAGUUCCGACCUGCACGAAUGGCGUAAUGAUGGCCAGGCUGUCUCCACCCGAGACUCAGUGAAAUUGAACUCGCUGUGAAGAUGCAGUGUACCCGCGGCAAGACGGAAAGACCCCGUGAACCUUUACUAUAGCUUGACACUGAACAUUGAGCCUUGAUGUGUAGGAUAGGUGGGAGGCUUUGAAGUGUGGACGCCAGUCUGCAUGGAGCCGACCUUGAAAUACCACCCUUUAAUGUUUGAUGUUCUAACGUGGACCCGUUACCCGGGUUGCGGACAGUGUCUGGUGGGUAGUUUGACUGGGGCGGUCUCCUCCUAAAGAGUAACGGAGGAGCACGAAGGUUGGCUAAUCCUGGUCGGACAUCAGGAGGUUAGUGCAAUGGCAUAAGCCAGCUUGACUGCGAGCGUGACGGCGCGAGCAGGUGCGAAAGCAGGUCAUAGUGAUCCGGUGGUUCUGAAUGGAAGGGCCAUCGCUCAACGGAUAAAAGGUACUCCGGGGAUAACAGGCUGAUACCGCCCAAGAGUUCAUAUCGACGGC
rnacentral:rRNA from 1 species